rnacentral:rRNA from 1 species
UACGUAGGGGGCAAGCGUUGUCCGGAUUUAUUGGGCGUAAAGAGCGUGUAGGCGGCUUUACAGGUCCGUUGUGAAAACUCGAGGCUCAACCUCGAGACGCCGGUGGAAACCGUAAGGCUAGAGUCCGGAAGAGGAGAGUGGAAUUCCUGGUGUAGCGGUGAAAUGCGCAGAUAUCAGGAGGAACACCGGUGGCGAAGGCGGCGUUCUGGACUGCAACUGACACUGAGGAACGAAAGCCAGGGGAGCAAACGGG